rnacentral:lncRNA from 1 species
AUUAAGCUUCCUCCACCAGACAGAGUAGAGGCUUGGUACUCAGUGGGAGCUCCUGGAAGAAGGUAUACCUGAGCUGGACCCUGAAGGAUGGACAGAAUCUGGGCAACCACACCAGAGGAAGAGGAGAUGCUGACUACGCAGACUGAGUUGUGGCGCAGGGCUGGACUCUUCUCUGUGCCGCCUCUCCUGUCCUCUGGUCAGUCGGUCACCUCCGUCCCUACAGGCAACACGCAGCUUUCACCGCCUUCUCCUGACUCCACCCGUGACCCCUCAUGUCUCCUUUUCAGCCCCCCUGGGAAGCGGCCCACAAUUCCAGCUCUUGACUCCCUGGCACUUCAUCUUCCGUGGCUACUGCCCUGUUUCCAGUAUCAGACGUCAAGCUCCCUGGGGCCCAGGACUCUGAUGGGGACCUUCACUGCAUCUGGUCCACACCCGGCACUCGGUUCUCAGCCAACCAUUGAGCUGAGGUUGUGUCUUUACUCACCUUUAACUUUCCUGAAUAAAUGAUAUCUUUAGGCAAAAUCACCCAUUUUAACUCAGACUUAGCGAUUAGCCAAGAGCUCUCAGUGUCCCAGAUGCAGGGGACAAAAGUCCUCUGAAAACUCUGAGCCCAAGUCACUUCUCUUUGAGCCUCAGCUGUGCCAUCUGCAAAUGGGGUCUAAAAGGACACCAUCGGGUUACUGAAUUGCUUUGUGAGGCUAAACUGAGGCUAGGGGAGGUUCCAGAAUUUAUGAAUUG